UACGUAGGGUGCGAGCGUUCAUCGGAAUUACUGGGCGUAAAGCGUGCGCAGGCGGUCUGUUAAGACCGAUGUGAAAUCCCCGGGCUUAACCUGGGAACUGCAUUGGUGACUGGCAGGCUUUGAGUGUGGCAGAGGGAGGUAGAAUUCCACGUGUAGCAGUGAAAUGCGUAGAGAUGUGGAGGAAUACCGAUGGCGAAGGCAGCCUCCUGGGCCAACACUGACGCUCAUGCACGAAAGCGUGGGGAGCAAACAGG
rnacentral:rRNA from 1 species